UUGCUUCAGCAGCACAUAGACUAAAAUUGGAAUGACACAGAGAAGAUUAGCAUGGCCCCUGUGCAAGGAUGACAUGCAAAUUCGUGAAGUGUUCCAUAUUUAA
rnacentral:snRNA from 1 species